GAUGAACGCUGGCGGCGUGCCUAAUACAUGCAAGUCGAGCGAAUGGAUUAAGAGCUUGCUCUUAUGAAGUUAGCGGCGGACGGGUGAGUAACACGUGGGUAACCUGCCCAUAAGACUGGGAUAACUCCGGGAAACCGGGGCUAAUACCGGAUAACAUUUUGAACCGCAUGGUUCGAAACUGAAAGGCGGCUUCGGCUGUCACUUAUGGAUGGACCCGCGUCGCAUUAGCUAGUUGGUGAGGUAACGGCUCACCAAGGCAACGAUGCGUAGCCGACCUGAGAGGGUGAUCGGCCACACUGGGACUGAGACACGGCCCAGACUCGUACGGGAGGCAGCAGUAGGGAAUCUUCCGCAAUGGACGAAAGUCUGACGGAGCAACGCCGCGUGAGUGAUGAAGGCUUUCGGGUCGUAAAACUCUGUUGUUAGGGAAGAACAAGUGCUAGUUGAAUAAGCUGGCACCUUGACGGUACCUAACCAGAAAGCCACGGCUAACUACGUGCCAGCAGCCGCCGCAG
rnacentral:rRNA from 1 species